UUGGUGCCUUUAGGACACUUAAGACAGGGGGAGUCGUACUGCACAUUGAGGAAGGGAAGGUAUUCUUUAGCAGUCUCUCAUCUAACUACUAACCAAGGCAGACCUGCUUAGCUUCCAAGGUCAGACAGGAUCUGGUGCCUAUACUUCCUGCUUAAAUUUCAUUGCUUGAAAUGAAUCUUAGUUGAUAAAAUGUAGAUUUAUCACAUAUCUCACAAAUGUUUUAAAAGAAGGUGAAGAAAGGAAAUACCUGCAUGAAAGUAUAAGGAUGGUGAUAUGAGAGGUGGAAGACAGAAAGAAAGAGUUGAGGAAUAAAGAAGCAAGGAUUGUAUUGGCACGAAAAAGGAAAGAAGAAAAUACUCCAGACAUAAAAGAAUGGACAGAAAAAAUAUAUGAACUGGCCGAAAUGGACAAAUUAAUAAGACUAUUAAAUGAUGAAAAUAUGGAGGACUUUAAAGAAUGGGAAAGUGUGAUAACUUUCCUACACCAAGAAGAUAAGGAACUAUGUAUAGAAGGCUUCAAAGAUUAAAGUAAUCUUAAGUAAUAGUUACGAAUAUAAUAGAAUUAAUACAUUGAUUAGAACACAAGUCAGUAGUUUAAUAGAAUGGCCAUCAAGAAUUAAUAGGAAACUAGAGUCUUGAAAGCUUUUAUUGAGAUGUAGCAUACAGAAUGUAGUAAAUAAAGAAAUAGAUAAAAAGGAUCACAAAUGAAAUGUUAAAGAUUAUUUCCAUGUACAAGAUAGGAAGGAUUGUGUUAGUUAUGUGUAGGACAUGUAGAUAGAAGUUGAUUUUAUGUUUAUGUUUAGUUAGUGUAGUUUGUUUUCGAAAGUUUGAUAGAAUGAGUAGAAUGCGUAGAAGAAAGAAUGUUUUAGUAUGUUGAAGAAGGUAAGCGUCAGUGAAAGAAGUUUGAAUAGUAAAGAAGAGAAGUGGAUAGAUUAAAGAAAUAAAGAAGGAGAGAAGGAAGGAAGAGAAUGAAGAGAAGGUAGCAACGAUAGAAAGUUUGUAUAUGAAAGGCAGUAGGUUUUAAUGUAAAGAAGGAAAGGAACACUAAAUGUAUUAUGUAUAGUGAUUAGAAAUGUUUGUCUAUGUUUGUUUGUGUUUUGUAAGUUUAAUAAAAAUUAAUUAAUUUUCAACAACUCACAAGAGAUCAUACACAUUGACAGCACCUACUCUCUGGAAUAAUCGAAAUCCGAGCUUGCUCCACUUUGGAUGCCUUUAAAAAGGCUCUGAAGACACAUUUAUUCCGACUGGCAUAUCCAUCUGACUCUUUGUAGUCACUAUUCUUUGAUAGAUUUGCACACCAUUGGCUGAUAGAUUUUUGGCCGUGUGUUUUUAUGUAUACUGAGAUAUGUUGAUUUUAUAUUUUUAACCUGUAUGUAACUAUAUUCUUAUUGUACGUUGCUUUGAUCAUUGGA